AUCAAAUACUUUUUAUUUCUCAACUUUAAAUGGAAGUAGUUGUUUAUGAAGAAAAAAGCAAACUCAAAGGGGUAAAUAUCUUCUUUCUUCUAAUAUUUUUCAUUACUCGCACAGUAAUGAAAAAAAUUAUAAAAUAAAACUGAUGGAAAGUGGUUCAUAUUGCUGCUUUUUCUUUUUCUUUUGGUGCAAAUUCAAGCAAGUAUGAAUGCUACAUUAUAAAAAUAAAAACAAAACA
rnacentral:lncRNA from 1 species